rnacentral:rRNA from 1 species
AGCGAACGCUGGCGGCAGGCCUAACACAUGCAAGUCGAACGAAGUCUUCGGACUUAGUGGCGGACGGGUGAGUAACACGUGGGAACGUGCCUUUAGGUUCGGAAUAACUCAGGGAAACUUGUGCUAAUACCGAAUGUGCCCUUCGGGGGAAAGAUUCAUCGCCUUUAGAGCGGCCCGCGUCUGAUUAGCUAGUUGGUGAGGUAAAGGCUCACCAAGGCUACGAUCAGUAGCUGGUCUGAGAGGAUGACCAGCCACAUUGGGACUGAGACACGGCCCAAACUCCUACGGGAGGCAGCAGUGGGGAAUCUUGCGCAAUGGGCGAAAGCUUGACGCAGCCAUGCCGCGUGGAUGAUGAAGGUCUUAGGAUUGUAAAAUCCUUUCACCGGUGAAGAUAAUGACUGUAGCCGGAGAAGAAGCCCCGGCUAACUUCGUGCCAGCCGCCGCAGUAACAC